rnacentral:rRNA from 1 species
GAGCGCCCCGCAAGGGGAGCGGCAGACGGGUGAGUAACGCGUGGGAAUCUACCCAUCUCUACGGAAUAACGCAUGGAAACGUGUGCUAAUACCGUAUACGUCCUUCGGGAGAAAGAUUUAUCGGAGAUGGAUGAGCCCGCGUUGGAUUAGCUAGUUGGUGGGGUAAAGGCCUACCAAGGCGACGAUCCAUAGCUGGUCUGAGAGGAUGAUCAGCCACACUGGGACUGAGACACGGCCCAGACUCCUACGGGAGGCAGCAGUGGGGAAUAUUGGACAAUGGGCGCAAGCCUGAUCCAGCCAUGCCGCGUGAGUGAUGAAGGCCCUAGGGUUGUAAAGCUCUUUCACCGGUGAAGAUAAUGACGGUAACCGGAGAAGAAGCCCCGGCUAACUUCGUGCCAGCAGCCGCGGUAAUACGAAGGGGGCUAGCGUUGUUCGGAUUUACUGGGCGUAAAGCGCACGUAGGCGGACUAUUAAGUCAGGGGUGAAAUCCCGGGGCUCAACCCCGGAACUGCCUUUGAUACUGGUAGUCUUGAGUUCGAGAGAGGUGAGUGGAAUUCCGAGUGUAGAGGUGAAAUUCGUAGAUAUUCGGAGGAACACCAGUGGCGAAGGCGGCUCACUGGCUCGAUACUGACGCUGAGGUGCGAAAGCGUGGGGGAGCAAACAGGAUUAGAUACCCUGGUAGUCCACGCCGUAAACUAUG